CGGCAGAUGCGACACUCCAUCACUAGCAUCACAGCGAGGAAAGGAAGUGUGAGGCAUGCCAAGAAGGCAGGACUGUGCUGUCACAUCACUCCUGGUGGCCUCUGCGGACCAGGGGACACCCUGACAUAUGUGCAUUUGCAUCACAUCACAUUGUAAAACUCUUGGGGAAAAAAGUCGAAUAAGGUGGACAUCUUAUACACAAUGCAACUUUUGUAUCGAUUUCUCUCUCCAACUUCAUAUUUCACAUUACAUUUAGGGAAGUAAAAUAAAGAAGAAGAGGAAGAGCCAGAGGCUGGAGAAGGAGGAAGACCAGGCUGGGAGGAGAAAGGCUUUGGUAGACAUCUGUGUUGUGUCCCAGCCGGUACUUAUAUGGGAGAAUAGCCCACCAGGGGAGGAGUCACGGCCAUGUAGAGGCGUGAGAUCAAAGACAGAGAGCUCCUCUCUGCAGGGCUGGGGAGCCGUAGCCUGCUGGACAUGGGGAGAAGACCAACAGGUCCUGGCCCUGUUUCCUUAUUUGCAAUAUCAGGAGGCUAACAGAUUUGCAAGUGCCUCAUCCUGGCCCUUUUAGCCUCUAAAUUAAGAGGAGUAAGAGCAGUUUGGGAGGCCUGUUCUGCUACGAGAUUGGAGAUACGAGAGCCCUUUGCAGAGCCAGCAGGCAACUUGGCUCACUGUCUCCUAUUUCGAGGAACCGACAUGCUGCUUUCUCAGACCCUCAGCUCUCUAAAGACCAGAGCUCCAGGAGGAAGAACAUUUGCCACAUGAGCUUUCUUUUGUUGUUUAGUCUCUUUUUCUGAUUAAGGACAGCCCCACCUCAGUCCCUGCCUUCAUGCUGUGAGCCGGGGUCCUGCCUUGUGUGUGGCCCAGAUUUUCCAGUCCCCUUUCCCAUGCAGAUCCUUGCCUCCUGGUAGCCACCGCCUGUCCAGACCCAGAGCCUCGUGGGCUUUUGGGUUCGGCUAGCUCCCCACUGUGCAUCUCUAUUCCACUUCCGGUCCAGGGUGAUGUUAAUCUUUUUAUUUCUGGCUAAGGUCUUUCCUUUCUCAUUUAAAACCUGUUCCCCAUCAUUGCUAUAUUUCACUUCUUAUUUCUAUAUGUAUAACCUUACAGAGUGAACAGGUUAUAACUCCAAAAUGUGGUUCCAUGCCUUCAUUCACAGUGCAAGUCCUGCACUGCACAAACGUUUGGUCACCGCUCUAAUCACGAUAUGAUUAUGUGUAGAGGAGUGGAUGUAAAACUUUUUAACUUCCAAGUCCUUUUCACUUAGUCUAGUGUUAAGGCUUAUACUCCAGUAACUAUGAUGUAGAUAGUGCACAUUACCUUCUGAAUCAAAAGUCAGGGCUGUCCAAUUAUAAAAAAAAAGCAAUUUAAUCUUCCUAAUCUGUUUCUCCAUCAAAAAAUUGUAACAAAAACAGCAUUUACUACUUAGAGUCAUUUUGGGGAAUAAAUAAUAUAAUCCAAG
rnacentral:lncRNA from 1 species